CGCCCGCCGGCGACCGGCGCACGGGUGAGUAACACGUAUGCAACCUGGCCGCCACAGGGGGAUAACCCGCGGAAACGCGGCCUAAUACCCCGUGACGCCACCGGAGGGCAUCCUCCGGUGGCCAAAGGAGCGAUCCGGUGGCGGAUGGGCAUGCGGCGCAUUAGCUAGACGGCGGGGUGACGGCCCACCGUGGCGACGAUGCGUAGGGGUUCUGAGAGGAAGGCCCCCCACACUGGGACUGAGACACGGCCCAAACUCCUACGGGAGGCAGCAG
rnacentral:rRNA from 1 species